UACGAAGGGGGCUAGCGUUGUUCGGAAUUACUGGGCGUAAAGCGCGCGUAGGCGGUUUUGCAAGCCAGAGGUGAAAUGCCUGAGCUCAACUUAGGAAUUGCCUUUGGGACUGCGAGGCUUUGAGGACUGGAGAGGUGAGUGGAAUUCCCAGUGUAGAGGUGAAAUUCGUAGAUAGUUGGGAAGAACACCGGUGGCGAAGGCGGCUACACUGGCCAGUUUCGUGACGCGUGCC
rnacentral:rRNA from 1 species